CAGACCUUCAGUGCCAGACCUCUGACCCGUUAACCUCCAUCCCGACAGCCAGCGCCUUCUCCGGCUCCCAUUGCGGUAUCGCUUCUCGGCUUUUUGGACAAGAACAAGUGGACACCGGGGACUACAAGUUUAAAUGGAUUUUUGACCUUCGGAAAUGGAAGCGAGGCUUGCUCCGUCCACUCCGUUCAUCGACUCGGGCGCUUUCCGGGCACAAAUAAGUUUGCGGAGGUGAUACCAGGACGAAUUAAACAGCCUCGACACAGCUGAAGGCGCAAGAAAAUCGUACGAGACAGUUUGGGAUGUUAAAAACACCUGAAAACUUUUUUUUCCACUACCCUUCAUACUACAGCGGUCGAAAAACCACAGCAACGUCGACACGCCUGGAAGCAUAGCUGUAUUUGUUUAAGACAACGGGUAAAGUAUUUUCUUGAUUACCUAAAUGACUUGCAGUAAGAACAUAUUUUAAUUUAUAAUGAUAACUCUGUCAUCAUUUAUUCAUCCUCGUGUUGUUUUCAACCUGUAUGCAUUCGUAUUUUGGAGGUGACACGAUGACGACUUAAACAUCAUCGACACAGCUGAAAAAGCGAACGAGACAGAUUGGGAUGUUCAAAACACCUGAAAACUUUUUUUUCACUGUACUACAGCUGUCGAAGAACCACAGCAACGUCGGCAGAUCUGGAAGCAUAGCUGUAUUUGUUUAACUCACAACGACAACGGGUAAGUCAUUGAGCCCUUGUGUUUUUAUUUAUCCACGUUCUAAAAUUGCUAUGCUUUCGUUGUUUCUCGAUUGCUCUGUACAUUUCUUUGUUUCUAUUCCACGUAAAGUUACUUUGUAAUAACGAAACGAUAUAUUGAAAUGCGCUAUUUAAAUCCAUUUGAUUUAAAUUGUUUCACGUUUUUCUCUCUGCACGGUUUAACCGGGCUGGAAACGGAAAAUGGGUAGAUCUCGAAGAAUAUUUGGUUUCAGACCUGGCUUCGUGCGCCUUUCCACCUGGUCACACACAGUAAUGAAAUGGUAGUCGGACGGCCUUCGGGGGCGCCGUCGAUGUGAUCGGUCACAGGAAGAUGCGGCCGUCUGGCCUCAAAGGCUGUUGCUCAUACUUACCUGGCAGGGGAGAUACCAUGAUCAUGAAGGUGGUUCACCCAGGGCGAGGCUCAGCCAUUGCACUCCGGUUGUGCUGACCCUUUGCGAAUUCCCCAAAUGUGGGAAUCUCGACUGCAAAAUUUCUGAUAGUGGGGGACUGCGUUCGCGCUCUCCCCUGGC